GAUGAACGCUGGCGGCGUGCCUAAUACAUGCAAGUCGAGCGAACGGACGAGAAGCUUGCUUCUCUGAUGUUAGCGGCGGACGGGUGAGUAACACGUGGAUAACCUACCUAUAAGACUGGGAUAACUUCGGGAAACCGGAGCUAAUACCGGAUAAUAUUUUGAACCGCAUGGUUCAAAAGUGAAAGACGGUCUUGCUGUCACUUAUAGAUGGAUCCGCGCUGCAUUAGCUAGUUGGUAAGGUAACGGCUUACCAAGGCAACGAUGCAUAGUCGACCUGAGAGGGUGAUCGGCCACCCAGGAACUGGGCACCGGGCCAGCACCCUAGGGGAGGCAGCAGUAGGGAAUCUUCCGCAAUGGGCGAAAGCCUGACGGAGCAACGCCGGGGGGGUGAUGAAGGUCUUCGGAUCGUAAAACUCUUUUUUUAGGGAAAAAAAUAUUUUUAAGUACCUGUGCAAAUUUGGGCGGUACCAAAUGAAAAAGCCGCGGCAAACCGCGG
rnacentral:rRNA from 1 species